rnacentral:rRNA from 1 species
CCUGGUUGAUUCUGCCAGUAGUCAUAUGCUUGUCUCAAAGAUUAAGCCAUGCAUGUCUACGUAUAAGUUUUUUAUACUGUGACAACUGCGAAUGGCUCUUUGAAUCAGUUAUACUUUUUUUGAUGGUACCUUGCUACUCGGAUAACCGUAGUAAUUCUAGAGCUAAUACGUGCGUUUUCCCGACUUCUGGAAGGGACGUAUUUAUUAGACAAAAGGCUGACCGGGUUCGCCUGACUCUUGCUGACUCAUGAUAACUCGACAGAUUGCACGGGCUUGCCCCGGCGACGUUUCAUUCAAAUUUGUGCCCUAUCAACUGUCGAUGGUAUGGUAGUGGCCCACCAUGGUGUUUACGGGUGACACAGAAUUAGGGUUCGAUUCCGGAGAGGGCGCCUGAGAGACGGCGACCACAUCCAAGGAAGCGACAAUAAAUAAUAAUAUCGGGGUUUCUAAACUCUGAUAAUUGGAAUGAGUACAAUCUAACAUCCUUAACGAGGAUCAAUUUGAGAGCAAGUCUGGUGCCAGCAGCUGCAAUAAUUCCAGCUCCAAUAGCGUAUGUUUAAGUUGUUGCAGUUAAAAAGCUUGUAGUCGGACUUCGAGUGGGGUGUGCACUGGCGGGCCCCGCCUUGAUACCGGAGAUUGGAGCCUGGGCUUCGCUGUCCGGGCCCAGGACUCGGUGGGGUUGCUUUGAGUAAAAGAGAGUGUUCAAAGCAGGCCUACGCUCUGAAUAUGUUAGCAUGGAAUAACCCGAUAGAACUCUGGCCUAUCUUGUUGGUCUGUGCAACCGGAGCAAUGAUUAAGAAGGACAGUCGGGGGCAUUCGUAUUUCAUUGUCAGAGGUGAACUCUUGGAUUUAUGAAAGACGGACUGUGCGAAAGCAUUUGCCAAGGAUAUUUUCAUUGAUCAAGAAUCAAGAACAAAAGUUGGGGGCUCGAAGACGAUUAGAUACCGUCCUAGUCUCAACCAUAAAUGAUGCCGACUAGGCAUUGGAGGGUGUUCUUUUGACGACCCCUCCAGCACCUUAUGAAAAAUCAAAGUUUUUGGGUUCCGGGGGGAGUAUGGUCGCAAGGCUGAAACUUGAAGGAAUGACGGAAGGGCACCACCAGGCGUGGAGCCUGCGGCUUAUUUUGACUCAACACGGGAAAAUUUACCAGGUCCAGGCAUAGUGAGGAUUGGCAGAUUGAGAGCUCUUUCUUGAUUCUAUGGGUGGUGGUGCAUGGCCGUUCUGAGUUGGUGGGUUGGCUUGUCAGGUUGAUUCCGGUAACGAACGAGACCUCAGCCUACUAAAUAGUCCGAAUUGCACUUUGAGCUGUACUGUAUGAUCGUGACACACAGAUAUCAUUCCCGCUGGGUCGAAAGGCUUAUGUAACUUCGCCGCCGAUGUUGCAUUGGACGACUUUGUAGCAAAAGGCUCCACGCCUGGUGGUGAGCCUGCAGCUUAAUUUGACUCAACACGGAAAAAUUUACCAGG